GCCUGGGUAUCUCAGUCGGUUAAGCGUCUGACUUUGGCUCAGGUCAUGAUCUCACGGUUGGUGGGUUCGAGCCCCCCUCAGGCU
rfam:Felis catus isolate Cinnamon breed Abyssinian chromosome A1, whole genome shotgun sequence.